ACGGAAGGCAGCAGUAGGGAAUCUUCCGCAAUGGGCGAAAGCCUGACGGAGCGACGCCGCGUGAGCGAAGAAGGCCUUCGGGUCGUAAAGCUCUGUUGUGAGGGACGAAGGAGCGCCGUUCGAAGAGGGCGGCGCGGUGACGGUACCUCACGAGAAAGCCCCGGCUAACUACGUGCCAGCAGCCGCGGUAAUACGUAGGGGGCGAGCGUUGUCCGGAAUUAUUGGGCGUAAAGCGCGCGCAGGCGGUCUCUUAAGUCUGAUGUGAAAGCCCACGGCUCAACCGUGGAGGGUCAUUGGAAACUGGGGGACUUGAGGGCAGGAGAGGAGAGCGGAAUUCCACGUGUAGCGGUGAAAUGCGUAGAGAUGUGGAGGAACACCAGUGGCGAAGGCGGCUCUCUGGCCUGCACCUGACGCUGAGGCGCGAAAGCGUGGGGAGCAAACAGGAUUAGAUACCCUGGUA
rnacentral:rRNA from 1 species